CUUGGGGUGCUGCAUAUUCAUAGAGCUCUGGUGUUGGGGUUCUUGGGGUGCUGCACAUUCAUAGAGCUCCAGUGUUGGGUUUCUUGGGGUGCUGCACAUUCAUAGAGCUCCGGUGUUGGGUUUCUUGGGGUGCUGCAUAUUCAUAGAGCUCUGGUGUUGGGUUUCUUGGGGUGCUGCACAUUCAUAGACCUCUGAUGUUAGGUUUCUUGGGGUGCUGCACAUUCAUAGAGCUCCAGUGGUGGGUUUCUUGGGGUGCUGCAUCUUCAUACAGCUCUGGUGUUAGGUUUCUUGGGGUGCUGUACAUUCAUAGAGCUCUGGUGUUGGGUUUCUUGGGGUGCUGCAUAUUCAUAGAGCUCUGGUGUUGGGUUUCUUGGGGUGCUGCACAUAUGUAGAGCUCCGAUGUUGGGUUUCUUGGGGUGCUGCACAUUUAUAGAGCUCCAGUGUUGGGUUUCUUGGGGUGCUGCACAUAUGUAGAGCUCUGGUGUUGGGUUUCUUGGGGUGCUGCACAUUCAUAGAGCUCUGGUGUUGGGUUUCUUGGGGUGCUGCAUAUUCAUAGAGCUCUGGUGUUGGGUUUCUUGGGGUGCUGCACAUAUGUAGAGCUCCGAUGUUGGGUUUCUUGGGGUGCUGCACAUUUAUAGAGCUCCAGUGUUGGGUUUCUUGGGGUGCUGCACAUAUGUAGAGCUCUGGUGUUGGAUUUCUUGGGGUGCUGCACAUUCAUAGAGCUCCAGUUU